UGUGAGCUCGAUGAGUAGGGCGGGACACGUGGUAUCCUGUCUGAAUAUGGGGGGACCAUCCUCCAAGGCUAAAUACUCCUGACUGACCGAUAGUGAACCAGUACCGUGAGGGAAAGGCGAAAAGAACCCCGGCGAGGGGAGUGAAAAAGAACCUGAAACCGUGUACGUACAAGCAGUGGGAGCACGCUUAGGCGUGUGACUGCGUACCUUUUGUAUAAUGGGUCAGCGACUUAUAUUCUGUAGCAAGGUUAACCGAAUAGGGGAGCCGAAGGGAAACCGAGUCUUAACUGGGCGUUAAGUUGCAGGGUAUAGACCCGAAACCCGGUGAUCUAGCCAUGGGCAGGUUGAAGGUUGGGUAACACUAACUGGAGGACCGAACCGACUAAUGUUGAAAAAUUAGCGGAUGACUUGUGGCUGGGGGUGAAAGGCCAAUCAAACCGGGAGAUAGCUGGUUCUCCCCGAAAGCUAUUUAGGUAGCGCCUCGUGAAUUCAUCUCCGGGGGUAGAGCACUGUUUCGGCAAGGGGGUCAUCCCGACUUACCAACCCGAUGCAAACUGCGAAUACCGGAGAAUGUUAUCACGGGAGACACACGGCGGGUGCUAACGUCCGUCGUGAAGAGGGAAACAACCCAGACCGCCAGCUAAGGUCCCAAAGUCAUGGUUAAGUGGGAAACGAUGUGGGAAGGCCCAGACAGCCAGGAUGUUGGCUUAGAAGCAGCCAUCAUUUAAAGAAAGCGUAAUAGCUCACUGGUCGAGUCGGCCUGCGCGGAAGAUGUAACGGGGCUAAACCAUGCACCGAAGCUGCGGCAGCGACGCUUAUGCGUUGUUGGGUAGGGGAGCGUUCUGUAAGCCUGUGAAGGUGUACUGUGAGGUAUGCUGGAGGUAUCAGAAGUGCGAAUGCUGACAUAAGUAACGAUAAAGCGGGUGAAAAGCCCGCUCGCCGGAAGACCAAGGGUUCCUGUCCAACGUUAAUCGGGGCAGGGUGAGUCGACCCCUAAGGCGAGGCCGAAAGGCGUAGUCGAUGGGAAACAGGUUAAUAUUCCUGUACUUGGUGUUACUGCGAAGGGGGGGACGGAGAAGGCUAUGUUGGCCGGGCGACGGUUGUCCCGGUUUAAGCGUGUAGGCUGGUUUUCCAGGCAAAUCCGGAAAAUCAAGGCUGAGGCGUGAUGACGAGGCACUACGGUGCUGAAGCAACAAAUGCCCUGCUUCCAGGAAAAGCCUCUAAGCAUCAGGUAACAUCAAAUCGUACCCCAAACCGACACAGGUGGUCAGGUAGAGAAUACCAAGGCGCUUGAGAGAACUCGGGUGAAGGAACUAGGCAAAAUGGUGCCGUAACUUCGGGAGAAGGCACGCUGAUAUGUAGGUGAAGUCCCUCGCGGAUGGAGCUGAAAUCAGUCGAAGAUACCAGCUGGCUGCAACUGUUUAUUAAAAACACAGCACUGUGCAAACACGAAAGUGGACGUAUACGGUGUGACGCCUGCCCGGUGCCGGAAGGUUAAUUGAUGGGGUCAGCGCAAGCGAAGCUCUUGAUCGAAGCCCCGGUAAACGGCGGCCGUAACUAUAACGGUCCUAAGGUAGCGAAAUUCCUUGUCGGGUAAGUUCCGACCUGCACGAAUGGCGUAAUGAUGGCCAGGCUGUCUCCACCCGAGACUCAGUGAAAUUGAACUCGCUGUGAAGAUGCAGUGUACCCGCGGCAAGACGGAAAGACCCCGUGAACCUUUACUAUAGCUUGACACUGAACAUUGAGCCUUGAUGUGUAGGAUAGGUGGGAGGCUUUGAAGUGUGGACGCCAGUCUGCAUGGAGCCGACCUUGAAAUACCACCCUUUAAUGUUUGAUGUUCUAACGUUGACCCGUGAUCCGGGUUGCGGACAGUGUCUGGUGGGUAGUUUGACUGGGGCGGUCUCCUCCUAAAGAGUAACGGAGGAGCACGAAGGUUGGCUAAUCCUGGUCGGACAUCAGGAGGUUAGUGCAAUGGCAUAAGCCAGCUUGACUGCGAGCGUGACGGCGCGAGCAGGUGCGAAAGCAGGUCAUAGUGAUCCGGUGGUUCUGAAUGGAAGGGCCAUCGCUCAACGGAUAAAAGGUACUCCGGGGAUAACAGGCUGAUACCGCCCAAGAGUUCAUAUCGACGGCGGUGUUUGGCACCUCGAUGUCGGCUCAUCACAUCCUGGGGCUGAAGUAGGUCCCAAGGGUAUGGCUGUUCGCCAUUUAAAGUGGUACGCGAGCUGGGUUUAGAACGUCGUGAGACAGUUCGGUCCCUAUCUGCCGUGGGCGCUGGAGAACUGAGGGGGGCUGCUCCUAGUACGAGAGGACCGGAGUGGACGCAUCACUGGUGUUCGGGUUGUCAUGCCAAUGGCACUGCCCGGUAGCUAAAUGCGGAAGAGAUAAGUGCUGAAAGCAUCUAAGCACGAAACUUGCCCCGAGAUGAGUUCUCCCUGACUCCUUGAGAGUCCUGAAGGAACGUUGAAGACGACGACGUUGAUAGGCCGGGUGUGUAAGCGCAGCGAUGCGUUGAGCUAACCGGUACUAAUGAACCGUGAGGCUUAACCUU
rnacentral:rRNA from 1 species